GAAAUGAUUUGGGACUCUGAGGGCCUGAUUAAACCUCAGGAUAAAUUGGUGGAAGGAAAUCACCAAGGAACGGUGGCUACAGGGGCGUUCCAGGAGACAGGCGGAAUUCUUGGCCUCAGCGCUCUCUUAUACCAGAGUAGAAACUCUGUGUGGCACAGGAAGACUUUAACUAAAUCUCAUUUCUUCUUGUCACCUUCCCUUGGAGGAAUCUCAACAGAUGCCUUUUGCUUUCUGCAUGGGAGUCUCUGGGUCUCUUUUUCACAUUCUCCCUCCUGCCUGGACUCUUCUGAGUUUUGAUUCAUGUACUCAGCUUUCUCUCUGAUGUGUCAUCUCCAUACAUCACACAGAGAAGAGAGAAAAGGAGAUGUGGUCUUUGUUCUGAGCAGUUGGGUUGCUGGAAACUCAUCAUUCGUCAACACACAGGAGGCAGAGAGGGAGACGGAACAGAGCCAAGCUCUCUCCCCUGUGCACAGAGCAAACAGGUGAGGCAGAUGGUGGGAGGGUUUUUGCCUCAUCAAAGAGAUAUGUGGAUUGAAAAGUCUGAGACUCAGUGCUUGCAGCAAUUGCAGAGAGAGAGAUUGCAAGGCAAAUAUCAAUGCCUAGCUCUUGAAGAGGCUUCUGGAAUGCUGCCCAAGUCCACACUGAGAAUGAGGGCGGGAUCCUCUGCCCCUUGAGGAGACUCCGCUGGUUGUCUGGAUUCGUCCUGAGAGUCCACGAUGGUUCUCAUGUUCAUAUUGUAAUAUUCUAUUAUUUUAGAAAUUGGAGCUUGUCAAAAAACACUGUAGCUAAUUUUUCAAUUGUCCUCAAUGCCUUG
rnacentral:lncRNA from 1 species